rnacentral:rRNA from 1 species
AACGAACGCUGGCGGCAGGCCUAACACAUGCAAGUCGAGCGAGGACUUCGGUCCUAGCGGCGGACGGGUGAGUAACGCGUGGGAACGUGCCCUUUGCUUCGGAAUAGCCCUGAGAAACUGGGAGUAAUACCGGAUGAGCCCUUUGGGGGAAAGAUUUAUCGGCGAAGGAUCGGCCCGCGUUGGAUUAGGUAGUUGGUGGGGUAAUGGCCUACCAAGCCGACGAUCCAUAGCUGGUUUGAGAGGAUGAUCAGCCACACUGGGACUGAGACACGGCCCAGACUCCUACGGGAGGCAGCAGUGGGGAAUCUUAGACAAUGGGGGAAACCCUGAUCUAGCCAUGCCGCGUGAGCGAUGAAGGCCUUAGGGUUGUAAAGCUCUUUCAGCUGGGAAGAUAAUGACGGUACCAGCAGAAGAAGCCCCGGCUAACUCCGUG